UCAGUUGCAGUAAAGCUACGCGUCUGUGAAUCGCCUCUGCAGUAAGACCGAAUACGGGUGCCGAGCAUCAUCUGGGUCAAACAACACGUGCAGACUCGACACGCGAGGAUAGGUCAUCCUCAUAUGGUUUGUCUCGCUAACCUGGUGGGCUGCAAUGGGAAGAACGGCGCCGUCGACGAACGGGGCAAAGCCUGAGGUAAAUCUUGGAGGAUCGAGCCUGACGUCCAAAAGCUGUUCCAGGGAUCGAAGCCGGAGACACGGGGCUAUG